ensembl:lncRNA
AUGGAAGCAUCGCCAGGGUGGCACCAGGAGAAGACUUCCCUGGGCGUUUUAGGAGAAAGACGCCGGACCGCUCGGGAAAUUGAUGCUGACGGACGUUUGCCCGGUAAUACCGGAGCCGGUUGCUUCCAGUCCUUAAUUGGAAUGAAUCUGCAAAUCUGGACCUGCUCUCACUUCGCUUCAGUCACAGAGAGGCUUCUGCAUGUGCGGUGUGAUUUAGAUCUCCAUCUGGACCUCGGCCAGUUUCUGCUCCGUGGAUCUAAGUGAGAACGAUUACCUUGUAAAUACCUGCCUGUGACAGCUGUUCCAGCUGCUACGGGAAAACCUCAGGAGGGCAAUACAAAUUCUCAAAAUACACCAUGAAGGCUCCUCCUGUGCUCUUCAGCUUUACUCUCAGUGCUGCUGGAGGCUGUUCCCUCUGCUCACUGCUUCCAGAAUAUGUGACAAACCUGUGGCUCCACGCCCACACUCAGGUUAAUCAUUUGACAGGACUGUAAUGACCAGGAGGGGUUUUAUGAAAUGUCUAUGGAGAGCUUACCUUUAUAAACCCUUUAAAUGUUCUUCUGCAGAUUCCAGAUUAAAAGAGUCAGACUUCAAACCAACAAGCAGGGGUGCAACUCCAGAAACUAUUAUUGCCUUGUUAAUAUACAGUAACCGAUACAGCCGUAACCUUCAGACAUACAUGAGUGAAUCUCUGGUCUCAGAAACAGGAAACAGGUUUGACUUUGUGAAACUUUAACAUUUGUGCUAACAGAAUGAUGAAAGAUCAGGAACAUCAGGAAGCACAUUUACAUGCUUUGGCCAAAAACUUCCCCGAGACCACAGAGGAUCACAGCAGCAAGAGUCCAGUGUGGAAAUCCUGGCAGCUGUGGGUCAACAACACAGACUGUGUAUAAAACAUGGAAGCAGUUACUGUGACACAACCCAGUUAUAUGGACAACAGGUGGAGCGCUAAGGUAAAUGCUAAUACUAGCUAGCCCAGUUAGCAAGCUGCUUCCAUGAACUGGGUGCAUCACAUCCAUGAUGUCAUAGAGAUUCCUGCUAAUGCGUGCCAAGCAACAAAGUGAUGAAAUGUUAGGAAGGUCUGUGUGGGUACCCUCACAGCAGCCGUGCUAUUGGUAGGAUUUGGUAAAUGUUUUAUUCUGCUGUGAAGUCGCAUGUUUUAACAUGGCAGGCCUUUGGGAAUGACUCUGACUGGAGCCUCUAGUGGUCAUUAGAAGAACUGCAGUUAUUGGCAGUCAUGAAAAGGUUUUUAGUCUUGCAGGUUGCUGAUUGACUUGUUGGUGACUGAAAUAGCAGAUGUUUUUUGAAACAAAGCAGAGAGUCCAUCACAGAAGAGGACGGAGACUUUUACACAUCAGUGUCACAGAGACGACGUCCAAACAUAAACCUGCAUCUCAUCUGCUGCAGGAUGUGUUAUUACACUCUAUGGCUUUAUACAUAAAACUGAAACAUUUUUAUUUUGUCUGUAUUUAUGCAUGAUAGGUUCACUGUCUGGUUCGCUGUAAAAUCUUGAUUAGGAUAUUUGUUGUAUGAUUUCCUUCACAGUUCUGCAGCAGGCAGCACGUUUCACACUGUUGGAUCAUAUAAAAAAAUCAUGAUGAAAAAAUAUUUUUCUGUAUGCACAAUUUAGACAAAUUAAUCUAAUUAAUAAUUUGCUGUCAAUUAGGAGCUUCACUCCUCCCGUGUGAAGCUACAGCUGAUAAGAUCAAAUUAAUUUGGUUGUUAAACUGACAGAAAACAGACAAACGUUCAAAAGUCCAACAAUUAAAUCUGUUUGUUUUUUAUCAACCAACAAAUAAAAAACAUCAAAUGUUUUCAGUUUAUUUGUAAAAGUCAUAAAAAUUCAUAUGAAACGUAUUUUUGCAAAGCUCAUGAAAAAUAAAGAAAUAAAUAUCCUUGUAUUUUAAAAUAAACGAGACAUGAAGCUGAAACCUUUUGGAACAUUUUCAUGAAAGACGUCAGCACUGAAUGUGAAACAGCAGCUGCUCGUUUCACCCUCGUCCUCGAAUAACGAAAAGCAACAAUCAUGGCUGCACAGUUUUUCUGUUUAGAUGAUGAAUUUUCAAAUUACAUUCCUCCUCUACGUUACAUUAAUAUUAAAUGUGCAUGAAUCACCUCGCUCUCAGGUGUAAAACCAUCAGAGUUUGUUCCUGCAGCAGCAUCCUACCUGCUCAGAGAGGUGAGGAGUUUCUCUCGGCGGUGCCGAAGUCUGGUCUCAGUCCGGCUCUCUCACUGACUGACCGGCAGGAGGAGGACGAGGAGGGUGAUGGACGGAGAGAGAAAGAGGAGGGGAGGGGAGGAGGAGUGCAGUAAAAUUUUCUCAUACUUGAAGAAUUUUUCCUCCCUCUCUCCUCUCUUCCUCCUCUGUUUCCCUCUGAUGUAAUUCUGUGGGCUUUACAGGUCCCCGCUGGGCGGAGGGCUGGAGAUGGAAAACAUCUGAUUUUUAGAUGUUUUCAGGGGAACGCAGGGGCUCUCAUGUGUUUCAGAGGGGUCUGGGUCCCCCGCUGCAGGAUGCUCUGUUGGUUAGCGGGCGCUGAUUGACCUGCUCCAGCUGACCUCACUCGGGGCUCUUUUGUGCUGAGAGAGAGUAAAAUAAGUGCGUGACAAGCUUUUCAUUGAUGUGUGACUGCAGGUUUGGACAGAGUUACAUGUGUGCUGAUUUAAACAGCUCAGGAAGGAAACCAGAGCUGAUUCACAGCAUAGACUGUAAAGCAGGGGUCCCCAAUCUCAGUCCACGAGGGCCGGUGUCCCUGCAGGUUUUAGAUGUGUCCUUGAUCCAUCACAGCUGAUUUAAAUGGAUAAAUUACCUCCUCAACAUGUCUUGAAGUUCUCCAGAGGCCUGGUAAUGAACUAAUCAUGUGAUUCAGGUGUGUUGACACAGGGUGAGAUCUAAAACCUGCAGGGACACCGGCCCUCGUGGACUGAGAUUGGGGACCCCUGCUGUAAAGUAAAGAUGGAGGGAGGACUCCUGGGUUUGGGAGACAUUUUUAGUCCCUCGUGUUGUUUUAUUGCUGCGAGAAUGUGUUUGGAUGACGUUUGCAAGCCUUGUUGGUAGAUACCUGCUCGGCCCCGACUGCACACCUGCAGCCACCUGCCCACACUCCUCACUUCAGACCUUAGUGAUGUUGCACAUCUCAGUGACACACACACACACACACACACACACACACACACACACACACACACACACACACACACACACACACUGUCUUUAGUUUUUCUGUUCAGCUCAAAGACGUGUGAGACGACGCCUGAAGGCACGCUCAGGACUUUAUGGUCUAAAUUUAUCACCAGCUUCAUGAC